GUAGGGAAUAUUGGGCAAUGGUCGGAAGACUGACCCAGCCAUGCCGCGUGCAGGAAGACGGCCCUCUGGGUUGUAAACUGCUUUUAUCUGGGAAGAAAAAGGCCAUGCGUGGCAAAUUGCCGGUACCAGAUGAAUAAGCACCGGCUAACUCCGUGCCAGCAGCCGCGGUAAUACGGAGGGUGCGAGCGUUGUCCGGAUUUAUUGGGUUUAAAGGGUGCGUAGGCGGCUGAUUAAGUCAGCGGUGAAAGACUUCGGCUUAACCGGAGCAGUGCCGUUGAUACUGGUUGGCUUGAGUGUCGGAGGGGUACAUGGAAUUGAUGGUGUAGCGGUGAAAUGCAUAGAUACCAUCAGGAACACCGAUAGCGAAGGCAUUGUACUGGCCGACAACUGACGCUGAUGCACGAAAGUGUGGGGAUCGAACAGGAUUAGAUACCCUAGUAGUCC
rnacentral:rRNA from 1 species